CUGUGCUAGACGGGGAGGUUGCGGUGCCCUGUAACCUGCAAUCCGCAAUAGCAGGGUUGAAUUCCUGUCAGAGGAGUUCUCAUGUGAGGCUGCCUUGUAGGGGCGGUGUUGAGGAGCGGGUCCUGUGCGACGCGAACCCAUGAACCUGGUCAGGUCCGGAAGGAAGCAGCCAUAAGUGGUAUUUCGCGUGUGCCGCAGGGGUGCCUGCUCUGAGCUGGCCCUACAAGUAACGCUUGGAUGGGAAUAUUCAAUGGCAGGUGCACAG
rnacentral:SRP_RNA from 1 species